AUGCUCACUUCUGCAGCACAUAUACUAAAAUUGGCAUGAUACAGAGAAGAUUAGCAUGGCCCCUGUGCAAGGAUGACACACAUACAAGAAAUACAGUCUAUAGUUGU